GUGUCUAGAGAGAGAACUAAAGGAAAAUUAUUAUUUGUAAAUACGAGUAAAUUGUGAGUUUGGUUAUGUCAAAUGGAAUUUUUUUUUUAUUACUCAUAACAUGAAUCAAGGAAAAGUGUAUUUAAUUUUCUCAAAAACAACAAAGAUAAAACUUGUUUACAUUCUUUUUUCCUCGGGGUUCUCUUGGCUCUAAGUCCCCCAGGAUAAAUUUCUGGACCUAGGGAACCACCUCCAAAAUCUUUCAACAUUUUUUCGGGACAUCUAGUACAUCCGGACCUAAGGUUACCAUCCAGACAAACGUUCAUCAGUAUACCAGCGUAAUGACUGCUGCGGAAGAGAUUUGGAAUAACCUCGAAGAAAUAGCCAAAGCUUCCGCUUUCUUGAACUCGCACCCCAGAGAAAAAUAAAUUUCAAGUGAGAUAAGAAACCAGGAACACAG